UACGUAGGGGGCAAGCGUUGUCCGGAAUUAUUGGGCGUAAAGCGCGCGCAGGCGGUUUUUUAAGUCUGGUGUAUAAACCUUGGGCUCAACUUAAGGAGGCACUGGAAACUGGGGAACUGGAGUGUAGGAGAGGAAAGUGGAAUUCCACGUGUAGCGGUGAAAUGCGUAGAGAUGUGGAGGAACACCGGUGGCGAAGGCGGCCUUCUGGACGGUGACUGACGCUGAGGCGCGAAAGCGUGGGGAGCAAACGGG
rnacentral:rRNA from 1 species